UGGGGAAUAUUGCACAAUGGUCGCAAGCCUGAUGCAGCCAUGCCGCGUGUAUGAAGAAGGCCUUCGGGUUGUAAAGUACUUUCAGCGGGGAGGAAGGGAGUAAAGUUAAUACCUUUGCUCAUUGACGUUACCCGCAGAAGAAGCACCGGCUAACUCCGUGCCAGCAGCCGCGGUAAUACGGAGGGUGCAAGCGUUAAUCGGAAUUACUGGGCGUAAAGCGCACGCAGGCGGUUUGUUAAGUCAGAUGUGAAAUCCCCGGGCUCAACCUGGGAACUGCAUCUGAUACUGGCAAGCUUGAGUCUCGUAGAGGGGGGUAGAAUUCCAGGUGUAGCGGUGAAAUGCGUAGAGAUCUGGGGGAAUACCGGUGGCGAAGGCGGCCCCCUGGACGAAGACUGACGCUCAGGUGCGAAAGCGGGGGGAGCAAACAGG
rnacentral:rRNA from 1 species